CCGUCACCCAUCUCUGAGCAGGCGCUGACAGUAAGCAAAGUGACAGGCAUAUCUUCUGCAUGUUAAUCAAAACGGCGAGAAGGCAAGUGAGCAGUGCCAGCCCCCCCACACAACCACCCCCGGCCUGUACACCCCACCCUUGGCACCCAUCAGCCUUGUGCAGGGCUGGUGAGGGCCCCGGGUGUGCCAAAGCUCCCUUCGGCAUGUUUAAAUCAAAACAAACAGCCGAGCCACCCCAGUCGGCGGGCAAAUGAGGCCACUCAGCUUCCGCAGUACCUGUUCCCGCUGUCUUCAUCUUGCCUUGGACGUGUGACAAGAGCCAACAAGCCUCUGGUGGGCUUUCCGAGCUGCGGGUCUGUAACCCUUUGCAGGAAGUUGGCACCGAUCCCAGUUUUUGGAGACAACCUGUGUAUUGUCAAGGCCCAGGCAGCUCUGGAGAUGCAGCCAAGGUCUUGGGGCCAGGCACAGCACAUAUGUUCAACAGAAGAUCUGCUGACUUAAAAGACUUGAUACAUGACAGCAAUAGGCAGGACAAAGAAAUCAAAGCUGUCUGGUCCCAGGGAUUGUCUGCUUUGCAUUCAGCCUUUGUAACAACAACAACAAAAAAUAAUAAAAAUCCCUUAUCUAACUCAAAGUAAAGUCUUAAGAAGAAUUCUGAACUACCACUGAUAAAACAGAGGCUUAUGCAACUCCAGAAACAGAGGGCUGGUCCAGGAUUGUGCCAUGCCAGGCUUGUAAAGCCCUACCCAUUUGUUGAUACAGAAUCAGAUCACUUGUUCCAUUUGCAAUAAGGAUCAUACUCCUCUCUAGCCCCAGUCAUCCAAGUAAUGAUGAAUGUUGGGUUUGUGCUUAAAGGAUGGCUGGAGACCAGGGGUCUGAGAGCUGCAGAAGGGGACCAAGAAGAAAUUAAUUUGCACUACAUCUCUCACGCCUGAUGAGAUGUCCAAGGACAUUUGGAUGAGGAACAAAUUCUUAGAAGACAGCCAGUCAUUAAAAAGCUCAGAGUAGAAGACCGAUGAGGAAGCCUGUAUGAUGUACAGCGAUGUGACAGCAAUGUGACCUACUUGCUUCAUGCAACCCAGCAGGAGAAACCCCAGUGUGGGGAGGGGUAGGACAAACCAUCUUUGAACUGACCAGGUGCAGCAAUUUCAGUGCCCAUUUCAGAGUCCAUAGAACAUCAUUCUGGUCUGCUGGCUGCAGGAGACUGCUAAGAUAUCAGGAGAAUUAAGAAGUCCACUCAUUGAAAUGUCUUUUUCUCCAGCUGGUCAUGCACCCAGAAUGAGAAUGUGCCAAUAUUAUGCUAUGGCUGUGUAGAGGUUGUCAGACCAUGAGAAAUAAGUGCUCCUCAAUGAUUUUAAGGGAAUGGAUGUGUUUGGAUUUCACUAGAAGUGCUGAGAGCAGAACAGCAACAGCUUGGUCUUAUAGAUGUAGUUUGUGUUCCUCUGACUGUAGCGUGAUUACCUAGCUGAGUUGUAGAGCAUGUAUAAAUUCAGAGCCCUCCUGAGACAUUCUGGGUUAUGUUAAAGCCUUUCUUGUUAACUGUUAAGUUUAAUUAGGCUACCAAGUGUUUAUUUUAUACAGAGGAAGAGAACACUGCUGGCUCUUUUCACAGACUGUUUUCUAGGGAGUUGGAGGAAAGGGGAGCUCAGCAAGAGCACAUGGAACAUCCUGGAGGAAGCUGUAUUUAAUGGAGAUCUGGGGCUGCAGAUCCUGAAGAAUAGCUGUAGAGCACAAAAGAUAUGGUGACACCUGAUUGGCAAGGUCUCUACAGACCUCUGGCCCUUUCCCCUUGGGGAAGAACAGAGUGAGACCCCCUGUGACUGCUCAUCCUUUCCUGAUGCAUUUAUAUUUAAUCUGGAAGCCCAGAUUUUGUGAUUCCAAAGCCAGAUAUUUCAGGCCUGAAAGCCUCUCCUGAAAUUUUGGAGCUGCCUUUACUAUUAUUGACAUAAUAAAGCAAGUUACCUCUCCACUGGGAACAGAGGCAGCAGGUAGUUCUGCUUUAUACAGAUGUGAGAAAAAGUCAAGAAGUGUUAAUAAAGGGUUUAAGAAAA